AUUGAACGCUGGCGGCAGGCCUAACACAUGCAAGUCGAACGGUAGCACAGAGAGCUUGCUCUCGGGUGACGAGUGGCGGACGGGUGAGUAACGUCUGGGAAACUGCCCGAUGGAUGGGGAUAACUACUGGAAACGGUAGCUAAUACCGCAUAACGUCGCAAGACCAAAGUGGGGGACCUUCGGGCCUCACACCAUCGGAUGUGCCCAGAUGGGAUUAGCUAGUAGGUGGGGUAAUGGCUCACCUAGGCGACGAUCCCUAGCUGGUCUGAGAGGAUGAACAGCCACACUGGAACUGAGACACGGUCCAGACUCCUACGGGAGGCAGCAGUGGGGAAUAUUGCACAAUGGGCGCAAGCCUGAUGCAGCCAUGCCGCGUGUAUGAAGAAGGCCUUCGGGUUGUAAAGUACUUUCAGCGGGGAGGAAGGCGGUGAAGUUAACAGCUUCACCGAUUGACGUUACCCGCAGAAGAAGCACCGGCUAACUCCGUGCCAGGCGCCGCCGUAA
rnacentral:rRNA from 1 species